AAUCAACGCUGGCGGCGUGCCUCAGACAUGCAAGUCGAACGAUUAAAGCUCUCUUCGGAGAGUGCAUAGAGUGGCGCACGGGUGAGUAACACGUAAGUAAUCUACCUUCGAGUGGGGAAUAACGUCCGGAAACGGACGCUGAUACCGCAUAAUGCAGCGGCAUCGCAAGAUGACAGUUGUUAAAGAUUUAUCGCUUGAAGAGGAGCUUGCGGCAGAUUAGCUAGUUGGUAAGGUAAUGGCUUACCAAGGCUACGAUCUGUAACCGGUCUUAGAGGACGGUCGGUCACACUGACACUGAAUAACGGGUCAGACUCCUACGGGAGGCAGCAGUCGGGAAUUUUGGGCAAUGGGCGAAAGCCUGACCCAGCAACGCCGCGUGAAGGAUGAAGUAUUUCGGUAUGUAAACUUCGAAAGAAUGGGAAGAAUCAAUGACGGUACCAUUUAUAAGGUCCGGCUGACUACGUGCCAGCCGCCGCCGUAAGAC
rnacentral:rRNA from 1 species